AUACGGAGGGUGCAAGCGUUAUCCGGAUUCAUUGGGUUUAAAGGGUUCGCAGGCGGCGUAUUAAGUCAGUGGUGAAAUCCCGAGGCUCAACCUCGGAACUGCCAUUGAUACUGGUAUGCUAGAGUAUAGUUGGCGUUGGCGGAAUGUAUCAUGUAGCGGUGAAAUGCUUAGAUAUGAUACAGAACACCGAUCGCGAAGGCAGCUAACGAAACUAUAACUGACGCUCAGGAACGAAAGCGUGGGGAGCGAACAGGAUUAGAAACCCGAGUAGUCC
rnacentral:rRNA from 1 species